UACAGAGGGUGCGAGCGUUAAUCGGAAUUACUGGGCGUAAAGGGUGCGUAGGUGGUUAGAUAAGUUAGGUGUGAAAGUCCCGGGCUUAACCUGGGGAUUGCGCCUAAUACUGUUUAGCUAGAGUAUUGUAGAGGAAAGUGGAAUUUCCGGUGUAGCGGUGAAAUGCGUAGAUAUCGGAAGGAAUAUCGGUGGCGAAGGCGACUUUCUGGACAAAUACUGACACUGAGGCACGAAAGCGUGGGGAGCAAACAGG
rnacentral:rRNA from 1 species